rnacentral:rRNA from 1 species
GACGAACGCUGGCGGCGUGCUUAACACAUGCAAGUCGAACGGUAAAAGCAGAGCUUGCUCUUCUGGUCCAGUGGCGAACGGGUGAGUAACACGUGAGUAACCUGCCCCAGACUUUGGGAUAACCUCUGGAAACUGCGGCUAAUACCGGAUACGAGCCACUGCUGCAUGGCGACUGUUGGAAAGGUUCGGCGGUCGGGGAUGGACUCGCGGCCUAUCAGCUUGUUGGUGGGGUAGCGGCUCACCAAGGCAACGACGGGUAGCCGGCCUGAGAGGGCGACCGGCCACACUGGGACUGAGAUACGGCCCAGACUCCUACGGGAGGCAGCAGUGGGGAAUAUUGCACAAUGGGCGGAAGCCUGAUGCAGCAACGCCGCGUGAGGGAUGACGGCCUUCGGGUUGUAAACCGCUUUCAGCAGGGAAGAAGCGAAAGUGACGGUAACUGGAGAAGAAGCACCGGCUAACUACGUG